rnacentral:rRNA from 1 species
GACGUAGGGCGCGAGCGUUGUCCGGAUUUAUUGGGCGUAAAGAGCUCGUAGGCGGCUUGUCGCGUCGUCCGUGAAAACCCACAGCUCAACUGUGGGCUUGCGGUCGAUACGGGCAGGCUAGAGUUCGGUAGGGGAGACUGGAAUUCCUGGUGUAGCGGUGAAAUGCGCAGAUAUCAGGAGGAACACCGGUGGCGAAGGCGGGUCUCUGGGCCGAUACUGACGCUGAGGAGCGCAAGCGUGGGGAGCGAACAGG